CCCCUUGUGGUGUAGUUGGCUAUCACGUUCGGCUGUAAUGAUACCGAAAGGUCACCGGCUCGAUUCCGGUCGAGGGGA
rnacentral:tRNA from 1 species